GACUUGGUUACCAUACAUCCAGGGGUUGUGAUUGGCCCUCUCUUGCAGCCCACUCUUAGUACUAGUAUGGAGGUGUUUGCACAAUACGCCAAAGGUAUUCACUAUUCCUUGUAAAAUUCAAGCAUAAUGUUUGUUUUCUAGACUUGGUUUAUUGUGGAUCCAAUGAAAAACAUAAAAAUGUGAAUCCCAUCUAUUCUAUAUGUGGGUCUCACCUCAUAUAGUGUGUCUUGGAUUCAUGAUAGAUUAAAUCUUGACAUGAAUUUCCCUGUAACUAUAUUCUGUAUAUGAUUUCUUCUGAUGGGUAAGCUGGGAUUUUCAAUGUGCAGGAGCUCAAACAUAUUUGUAUG
rnacentral:misc_RNA from 1 species